rnacentral:rRNA from 1 species
CAGCCGCCGCGGGAAAACGAAGGGGGCUAGCGUUGCUCGGAUUUACUGGGCGUAAAGGGCGCGUAGGCGGACUGAUAAGUCAGGGGUGAAAUCCCAAGGCUCAACCUUGGAACUGCCUUUGAUACUGUUUGUCUUGAGUUCGAGAGAGGUAAGUGGAACUGCGAGUGUAGAGGUGAAAUUCGUAGAUAUUCGCAAGAACACCAGUGGCGAAGGCGGCUUACUGGCUCGAAACUGACGCUGAGGCGCGAAAGCGUGGGGAGCAAACAGGAUUAGAUACCCGGGUAGUCCCUGUCUCUUAUAC